UCGAGUGAUGGUUGAGAAAAUCAAAUUAGUGAUUAGAAGAUCAAUUAAAGAGAAAAUGGAUUAUGUGGUGACUGUUGGUGGUGGUGUUGACUUGGGUAGGUGAUUCAGAAUUGAUGAAAAGGUAAAUCAGAAAAUUCAACUUAGGGUUUUCGGAUUUGGCUUUGAGAUUUUAUUGAAUUGAUCAGUGUUUUGAGUUAUUGUUAGAUGAAUAACAAGUGGGUUAUCGUUUAAUUGAUGGUGUGAUAUUGAUUUGAUUAAGGAUUGAGAAAUUAGGAUUUCUGCAAUUAGAUUUGUAACUCGAUUAGGUAAGGAUUGAGAAGAAUUCGAGUAGUUAAGGCUUAGAUUUGUAUUAUUAUUAUUAUAUUUGAACUUCAUGGAUUAGGGUUCUUAAUAAAACAUAGAUUUAGGGUUCUCGGGUUCGAAAUUUAGUUGGGUAAGAUGAGAUUGAUAUGAAAGAGGAACGAUUGGAGAUGGGUACCGUGUUAAUUGAACAGAUGAGAUACAAGCUUCAGAUGGAAUCAGGUUUCAGUCGAUGAAUUAAUAAAUCAGUGAAUUGGGGGUUUGAGUGUUGAUGUUCAUGAGAUUGAUCCAGUUUGGGAGGAUGUGCAUUUGAUCUAUGCUCAAUUGACUGUGGUGGUGGUGAUGCUGAGUUAGGAAUGGUAGUGUUGAUGCCAUAGAAGCUAUAGUCGAGGCAGAACUGUAGGUGUUUAUGAAUUGCAAAGGUUAUGUGUUGGAAUUGGAAAUUGUUAUUCGUGUUAUUAAUGUCUGCAAUGGUUGGACUUAGAUGAAUGCUUGGAGUCUUGCAGAGGGAAGGAGUCUUGCCAGUGGGUUGAGGCUUUGGUGUUACAGUUGGAAUUAGAAUCAAGAUUGUUGCUUGGAUGGUUGUAUUGGUUUGCGUUCUGAUUAAUUGAAAUUACAAGUUGAUUCCUUUCCCUCGAGUGCUUAGGAGAAACACGAACUUCCUCAUCUAUGAAUGCACGCCCUGUUGAAGUGCUUGCGCCAAAAGUGUUGAAAGUACUCCUUGUUGGUUCCAUGGGCUGACGUGGCUCUUGUGGUAGUCGCUCUGUUAGCGUCUUGAGGAAAGUGAGUACCUCUUUCUGAGUUGAAGACAUGUCCGUCUGGGCCUUAGCGAUAACUUCUUGUAUCUCCAUUAAAUAGACAAUGGUAAUAAGGGUUGGCUUUAUUUGGCUCCUCCAGUCUCUAGUCCUGAUGGGGGAGUGGCAGUUGCUCUAGUAACAACCAGGGGCGUUUGAUAAGCACGAGGAAAUGGGGAAGAAUGCAGAGCUGUUUUGUGGUCGAGUUUGCCAUGAAGAAGUGAUGCUAUGGACCUGUGGGGCUCGAUUUAUUGAAGUGAUGACGAGAUUAUAAAGACAGUGAAAAUGGAGGAUUGUCUCGCAGUGCAGAAAGAUGCUCAGUUGCUCAUGAAAUAGGGGUUGGCUGAGCUGGUUUGAAAGAAGGUGGAGAAAUGUUGUCGCCAGUGCAUUAAGCACAGAUUGUGGGGACUGCAUGGAUCGUACUGGUGUUGAUUUGGUGGAUGCAUAGAGAGCUCGAGGUGGAGAAUGAACUGAAUUCUGUGCCGGAAAGUCAGACACGAGACUCGAUUUGCUGUCAUUAAUAGAGGAGUAUAUACUGAUCGUGUUUGCAUGAAUGGAGAUGGGAAUGAAGACCAAUUCUAAGUGGUACUACGGGGUUCAAGUUGAGCUGGUUCUGAGAAGCAAGUUGGUGGUGCGUUUCAGGUGAAUAAGUUUAGACGGACAGAGAUGACUUGGCCUGACUAGUCGCUGGAACUGUGCAGCCGAUGGGUGACCAAAUUGGAACGGACAAGGAAUAGAAUGAUGUGGGCAUGUGGCCUGAGUUUGCACGGAUUUGGGAAUUUGGCUGAAGCGUUUGUUGCUGCGACCAGUUAUGCCGGGGAUGAUCGAAGUGAGCUUUCGUUGCUGCUAUGACCCUAACGAGAUUCAGAUGGCAGGAGCAGGAGCAGGGUGAAGACACUUAGCCGGGCAAAGUGGGUUGGGGUCUCAAACUCUCAAUCGGUGACGCAGUUUAAAAGUUCAGGCAUCAGAGUGGUGCUGCUGACUUCGGAAGAGUUUGUUAGUGGACUGGGCCUUGGAAGACAAAUAUUUGAUGGGUUUUAUUUUGGAUUCUUUCGCAGUACCUUAGGCAGUAGGUAUAAAUCAACAAAACGAAGAAAAAAAGGGAGGAGGAGGCGAGAGCCGUCAGAGAAGAAGGAAGGAAGGGAGGCUGCUGCUGUUGCGGCUUCACAGCCGUUUACGGUUUGAAGUUUUGUUUCAAUUCCGUUUUUCGAUUAGCUAUUGAUUUUAUUUGAUAUUUGUUUAUGGCUUUUGAGAAAGCCAUGGCUAACUAGAUCCAUAUUAGGGUUUAGGUAGAAAUCAAUUCAAUUGUGUACUCUUUACGAUGAUAUUUUUAAUAAUGAUUUGAUUGAUUAGUAUUUUCACUUCAUAUAGCUUGGUGUAUAAUUGUUCAUGUGAUUAUUUUGAUUAUUUAUGUUUUUCAAUUGA